CCCGCGGCCUCGCGCCGUGUGUACAAACACAAAGACACGCCGAGGGCCGGGGGUCUAGCUCGGUGGUUCCGGUGCCUGCCUCGCCAGCGCAAGGACCUGAGUUUGAUCCCCGGUACCAAAAAAACAAAGGCCCGCCGAGGCGGCCCGCCCGGUCUGGCGCCGGCCCGGGACGCCGAGGGGACGCUGUGGGAGUGUCGGGCCCGCGGCCUGGGAGCGCUGUGCCCCUGCGGGGUUGGGCUGCCGCCGCGCCCGCGGGGAGUGGCCAGCGUCGCGGUCCUACGGCGGGCGACUGCGGGCUCCGGCUCCAGGCCUGCCUGGACCCCCCGGGCGCAGGAAACCAAAAUAUUGCUGGAUUUACCCACGAAGGCAGUCGUACUUGAAUUCACCAUAUCCUCAAGAAAUGUCAAACUGGGUGUGGCAGCACACCUCUGUAAUCCCAGCCAAGAGUUCCAGGACAGCCUAAACUACAUAGCAAGGUACUGCCUCAAAAACAAGCAAAAGAAGAGGUUGAAUGAGGGCUGGCUGGAUCUAGGACGUGUCCUACUGGGAUUAAAGAACCGGGAUGUCUUCAGUUGAUGUAAUCUUGCUGUUGAGCGUCACAGCAUCACAGGACCAUUGAGGCCUCAGCUUGUGAUCCGAGGUUUUAGAGCCUGGAGUCAUCUUCUAAAGGUCGUUUCUAGGUUCUUUCUGUGCUGAAUAGAGCAUUGGUCAAGACAAGUGCAAAAGUAGAAGUUUUACAUUUUUUCAAGCCUCACCAUGACGUGAGGAGCCUCUACAUGAAGCUGGUCUGAAGCUUCUCUGAGUUCUGAGCUCAGUUCGCCCCUCUCCAAGAUGGCUGUGGUCCAAUCAGCCUCUCCUGAGGGAUCGAACUCGGGUUCUUGCGCUUGCGCAGCAGGCGGCGAAACCACUGAGCUAAAUCCCCAGCCCGAGGCUACAUUGUAGUAGAAUGGAAAGUGCUUUGUGGCCAGCAGGAAGAGAGAAAGUUGGAAAGGAAGAGAGAAGAAAAGUCGCUUGGAGGUACAGCCUGGGAGACUAAAGCUGGAAGAGGCUCUUCUUUCACUGCUACCCAGGGUGAAGGAGGAUGCUAAGUAAAAAGGCAAACAAGGGAACAGAGAAAUCCAUCUGUCUCUGCUGGGCCCCUUGGUAAAUUCAGCUCCUAAGUGCUAAUUUCGGAAGCCUUUUUCUUACUGAAAAGAUGUUUAGGACAGCUUCCUCGAACACUUUGCCCUUCCUUUCUCCUGAGGUAGAAUGAGAAUCCCUCCGGGUGAAGGUUAGAGAAUAGCUUCACUGUGUCCAUGGGAACGUCCUCCUCUGGAAAUAAUGCCUCUUCCCAUUUAUGUGAGUGUUUUCAGUGUGUGUCUCUUUGGAAAAAUUCAAGUACUAUCCAGAGAUCAUUUUGGAUCAUCAGCUGUACCAAGCACUCUCUCAUGCACAGAGAUACCUCCUAGCAGGACCUACUGGGAGCUGAACAUGCAGGCCUGCUCCGGUCCCAACAUCAUCUUCUCUCAGCUUCUCGAGUUGGCUAUCCAGGCCCUGCAGGCGCUAACAAUCCAAUUAUUGUGUGUCUUCUGGACUCUGGAUGGCUGUGAUAUUGGCCUGCAAGAGGUAGUGCUGAGCUAAGUCUGAGAUGCCCUUCUCUGUGAUGACUGUGUCAGGCUUCAGCUGGAUGAUGUCCUUGCAGAGCUGCUUGAUACACUCUUCUUCCAUCUGGAGGAUUUGCGCCAAGUCUUCCUCUUGUGUAAUUUCUUUUUUUUUUUUUUUGGUACCAGGGAUCAAACUCAGGACCUUGUGGUUGUGAGGCAGGCGUAGUGCCACUGAGCUAAAUCCCCAGCCUCCUCUUGUGUAAUUUCAGUGUCCAUCUGGCUUUUUCCUUUCUUGUAUUCCAGAGGAGAAUCCAGCAGCACAACUCAAGGGGGAAUGGGUCACAUCCUUGUGAAUCACGACAGGAUGUUAACCACACAGGAUGCGUGAGUCUUCAGCGAUGCCCCCACCUAUCUUUUCUGCCUUUGCAUAUUUUUUGACGUCAGUCUCCUUCCAACCAUUCUCUUUGAACUGUACAGUCUUGACAGCAUCCAGGGCAAUGUCAUAAGCCAGAGAAGACCACAGACUGAUUACUUUUGUAGUAAUGGAGCUACUGGUGAUGUUUAGCAUCAUAUAAUGGUUAUUGAUGUCAACAGGGAUGCUGAUUUUCUUUAGAAGGCUGAGCAUAUCCAAUGGCUUGUGGUAAGCACUGAUCAUCACUGUCGGGUGCAUCUGCUGCUCUAGGAAGUGUUCAGCCACAGACAACAUCUCUCCUGCAAGAACAGUUAUGGAUGUGGUCCCAUCUCCAACCUCUUCAUCUUAGAUCUGGCAAAUUUCAGUCGUUGACUUGGCUGCUGGAUGCUGGACUUGACUCUCUCAAAGAAUAGCGUUGCCAUCAUUGGUCAUCACAAUGCCUUCCACUGGAUCCCAAAGCAUCUUCUUCAUGGACUUGGGUCCCAAACAUGUUUGAAUGAUAUCUGCAAUAGUUUUAGCAGCAUUGAUGUUUCCAGAUUAAACUUUUCUUCCAGA